UUGACUGUCUGGUGUCUAAAAUUAGAAACUGGCACAACAAAUCUGGAAAAAUAGAACACAGCUGACGAAGUGAAUGCCGGAGAAAGAAGAAUCCUUACAGUUUCCUCAUCUGAAUGGUCGAAUGUUUGACCAGAAGACAAUAGCAAACCUUUUCUCAGCCAGUGCUGCAACCAACGUUGCGAUUCAGUUUUGUCACAAGUUAUUGUUAGUGCACUGGUUCUAAAUUGCAAACACGAAGUGGUAGAGACAGAAAAGAUUGCCACUGAAUAUUUUUUAUCUUGUUUUAUAUUGGAAUAAUAAGUGAAUACUCAGCAAUUUAUUGCAAAAUGGUGAAGGAUAUGUCUGCUGUUCAACCAAAGAAUCUCCCUCGGGAAAACAAAGCUGAAAAUAUGGAAACAGACACACCUCCCUCUCAAAGAGCACCAGUUCAACAGGACACAGUCCCAAGCCAAGCUCAGAGUAGGAUGAGCAUUAGGAGAUCCACAUGGGAGCCAGCUUGGGGACCAGUCUUCAAGAACAAGGAACAUUUUGUAGAAAUGCACCUUUGUUAAAAAGCUGAUGAAGUGUUCCAUGAAGCAUUUUAGAUUUUCUUGUUGUUCUUGAGAGUGAUACUGUGCUGUUAAAUUUUGUAUAAAUUUUUGAAUUUUGUUUCUUUUAUUAACCAAGAAUUUCUUGAUUUAUCAUGUACUUGUUGCUUUAAUGAUAUUAGCCUAAAUAUCCUGAUGUAAUAACUGCACUAGCUUAUAACAUAAUUUUGUGAUUAAUCCAGUUUUUCAACUAGAUUGAUGAUAAAAGUCAUUUUUAGUACAGCCUUUUACUUGUCACUGAAAAAUUAUAUGUUAGAUUUGGUUUUAAAUGAUUCAUUGUUCUUAUUUUUUUUUUGUCAUAGAUCUAAACCGUUGCACUUAUUAUACAAGUGAUGGUUGUAAAAUUCUGACUAAUAAAUCAUAAAAACUAAAUUAAGUGCAGUGGCAGACAAUUUUUCACCAUUUUACAAUAUUUUGCUUUUAUAUGUUUUGUGCAGUGACAUUUGCUUGACAUUUUGUGCAAUGGGGUGAUGGUGAUUGAAUUAUUUAAAAAAACAGUUACAUAAAGACAUUUAGGUACGCAAACCCCUCAAAAUAAAUUUGAUACCUCCGGUUUACAUACUUCUGAUGGGUGCUAGUUGAUAUAGGGCACAUUAAAUUGUAAUAACUGUAAUACAUGUAUAUAUAGACUGUGUUGUCAUUAUGUUGUAAAUGAAUUUGUUAAAACCUGUCAUUAUAGUCACUUGGGAACAAAUUUUUGUAAAAAAAGCUGUAAUACCAAAACAAACUUGUUUUUUUAUGAUGAUGAAGUCAAGUUAUUUGAAGAGUCAUCUAGAAAGAAAUACUCUCAAAUCAACAUGUGGGUCUCACAACAGAUGUUUUGAGUGAACUGAAUCUACAAAAAUCUGUCAGCAUUUUGUUAGUGAUGUUUUAAAUCAUUCCAAAAAUCUGGGAUGUUUUUAUAAAUCUCUUUUUCUAAUGUAUAAAAGUUGUAUUGCCAUAAUAUUUUAUCUAUUAUUUUCUAAAACAAUAUUUUGAGUGAUUCUGUGUGGACUGAUUUGAUUCGAAUGUUCUGAAUCCCAACUGACUUCAGACAAAUAGAUGUUCAUAUGUGUAGCUGCUUCAAACUUUUCAAAGCUUACUGUAUUUUUAAUCCAUUCCUAUUAUUUUUUAUUAUAUAUAAUUGGAAAUAGUAGGAUUUUUCACCAUCAGCUUUGUUUUCGUGUUUUCAGUGUUGUCACACUGUUCACGUUUUUCUAUUUCAACUAAUUGUAUUGAUUUAAUUAUGAGUUAGAAUCUCUUACAAUCACACCAUAAACUUGCUUAAACAUAAGCUUUCCCUCUAAAAACUUUAAAAACACCUAAUUACUCCCUUAGACAUAUUAGCUUUCCCUCUAAAAACUUUAAAAAGACCUUAAACAUAAGAUUUCCCUCUAAAAACUUUAAAAAGACCUUAAACAUAAGCUUUCCCUCUAAAAACUUUAAAAACACCUAAUUACAGGUUUGUUACAUUUUUUUAUAAUUGUUGAAAUAAAAUUUUAUGAUUUCAAUUGUCAUCAUAUUUUUCAUUGAAAUACAGACUACAUUUGAUCAGUAAUAAUAAAAUAAGUUUGAAAUUGGAGUGUUGACAUAAAAAUGUUGGAACAAAUUUUCUCAUUACUGUUCUUACUUUCCUUUAACGCUGUGAAAUUCACCCCAUAAUUGUUCCUAUUCAGUGAAUGUGAUGACAAAGUUUUAUUGUUUACAAUACAAGCUGUUUGUUUCAGAUUUCUAGAUUCUUGGUCAGUAUUUAUUUUUUUACAAUACAAGCUGUUUGACUCAGAUUUCUAGAUUCUUGGUCAGUAUUUAUUUUUUUACAAUACAAGCUGUUUGACUCAGAUUUCUAGAUUCUUGGUCAGUAUUUUUUUGUGUAAAACAAAUAUAUCUCACUUUUAUUAUAUAUUAUGUAUUUCAUUGACACAAAUAUGAAGCUUUAUAUUUUUACCAGUGAUUUUAUUUAUUGUUAAUUUUGGAGGAGUAUAAUAUCAUUGCAUUUUAUUUUUAUACAUGGAAUAAUGAAAAAGGUAAUUUUUUUUGUGUAGAUGCUUCCAAUAGUUUAAACUGAACUGUGAAAACAUAAACACUUACAUUUUUAUGCUGAAAUAAUGUAAAUAUCUAAUUAUUUGUUUGACAUGAAAGAGGCAUUAAUUUAUGCAGUUCUCAGUAGGAUGGCAAUUUUUAGUCUUUUGAAUAUAUAAAUUAAAGAUGAAUGUAAGAAGAAUGUUUAUUUCCUAAAAAAGACAAGAAGACAUUUUUAUUGAGCUGUAAUCCACAUGUACAACUAGUCAUCUUGAAAAAGAAAACUACAAAUCAUUGACUGUUAAAAAAGACUAAGCUUUUUUUGAUGUAUCUGUAUUGCUCAGAUUUUACAGUUUUUCUGUAAGAAUUACAAACAAAACUUCCAAAAAUUGGAAACAAACCAUUUUAAAGUAUUUAUUUAAUGAUACUAAUUGUUCCAAUUUGAUUGAAUAACUGAUGUAAAAUGUUUUGUGUUUUGAAAUUUGGAAUUAAAUUAAUUUUGAAAAACAACAACAAAAGAAGUGUAAAGCGUUUAAAUGAGUACUUGAUUUAUUAUACUGUGUAUAAUAUUAAAUAAAAAAGUAAUUUAUA